CAGUAGCGUAUAUUAAAGUUGUUGCAGUUAAAAAGCUCGUAGUUGGAUUUCUGGCUUGACGCGACUGACCCGCCGUGUUAUGCGUGUGAGUGUCGGGCCGCGUCUGCCAUCCUUCCAGAAAUCGUUUCUACCCUUCACUGGGCCGGAUUCGCGAUCUGGAACAUUUACUUUGAAGAAAUUAGAGUGUUCAAAGCAGGCUUGCGCUGUGAAUACAUUAGCAUGGAAUAAUAACUUAGGACUUUGGUUCUAUUUUGUUGGUUUCUAGGACUGAAGUAAUGAUUGAUAGGGAUAGUUGGGGGUGGCUAGUAUUCAGCGGCCAGAGGUGGAAAUUACUUUGGAUUCGCUGAAGACUAACUUAUGCGAAAGCAUUCACCAAGGAUGUCUUCUUUAAUUCAAGAACGAAAGUUAGGGGGAGUCG
rnacentral:rRNA from 1 species